rnacentral:rRNA from 1 species
GAUGAACGCUGGCGGCGUGCCUAAUACAUGCAAGUCGAGCGAACAGACGAGGAGCUUGCUCCUCUGACGUUAGCGGCGGACGGGUGAGUAACACGUGGAUAACCUACCUAUAAGACUGGGAUAACUUCGGGAAACCGGAGCUAAUACCGGAGAAUAUAUUGAACCGCAUGGUUCAAUAGUGAAUGACGGUUUUGCUGUCACUUAUAGAUGGAUCCGCGCCGCAUUAGCUAGUUGGUAAGGUAACGGCUUAGCAAGGCAACGAUGCGUAGCCGACCUGAGAGGGUGAUCAGCCACACUGGAACUGAGACACGGUCCAGACUCCUACGGGAGGCAGCAGUAGGGAAUAUUCCGCAAUGGGUGAAAGCCUGACGGAGCAACGCCGCGUGAGUGAUGAAGGUCUUCGGAUCGUAAAACUCUGUUAUUAGGGAAGAACAAAUGUGUAAGUAACUAUGCACGUCUUGACGGUACCUAAUCAGAAAGCCACGGCUAACUACGUG